rnacentral:rRNA from 1 species
CCUACGGGGGGCUGCAGUGGGGAAUAUUGCACAAUGGGCGCAAGCCUGAUGCAGCCAUGCCGCGUGUGUGAAGAAGGCCUUCGGGUUGUAAAGCACUUUCAGCGGGGAGGAAGGCGUUAAGGUUAAUAACCUUGUCGAUGGACGUUACCCGCAGAAGAAGCACCGGCUAACUCCGUGCCAGCAGCCGCGGUAAUACGGAGGGUGCAAGCGUUAAUCGGAAUUACUGGGCGUAAAGCGCACGCAGGCGGUCUGUCAAGUCGGAUGUGAAAUCCCCGGGCUCAACCUGGGAACUGCAUUCGAAACUGGCAGGCUAGGGUCUUGUAGAGGGGAGUAGAAUUCCAGGUGUAGCGGUGAAAUGCGUAGAGAUCUGGAGGAAUACCGGUGGCGAAGGCGGCCCCCUGGACAAAGACUGACGCUCAGGUGCGAAAGCGUGGGGAGCAAACAGGAUUAGAUACCCCUGUAGUC